UGUUUGUGUAGUGUGUGUAUAUAAUGCAGAGUGUGUGUUUGUGUAGUGUGCAUUAAAUACACACUACACAAACACACACUCUGCAUUAUAUACACAUACUACACAAAC